AUGCUGCUUGUUUAUCUCCUAGUGUUGGACAUAUCUACGUCCUUUGUUUUUAGCGCAAUUGAUUUUACUCAGCCAGGUCAUGUGAUUGUCCGGCCUGGACAGACUUUGACCACUGGCUGUAAAGUGUCUGGUUACAGCUUGACUGAUAGCACUUAUUGUACAAACUGGAUUCGACAUGCUACUGGGAAAAAUAUGCAGUGGAUUGGAUACAUUUGUAGUGAUGGAAGCACAGGGGGCACAGAGUCACUGAAAAACAGGUUCAGCAUCACUCAGGACACCUCCAGUAACACAGUGACCCUCCAUGGUCAGAAUGUGCAGAUGGAAGACACAGCUGUGUAUUAUUGUGUGCGCUAUCAUAACACAGUGCUACAGAUCACUGAAGUGCCUGUACAAAAACCUCCUCAGAUCAGCCUCAUGCCUUUUGUCAUCGUCCCAAUGUUCAUCAUCUGA